AGCAGCCGCGGUAAUUCCAGCUCCAAUAGCGUAUAUUAAAGUUGUUGCAGUUAAAAAGCUCGUAGUUGAAUUUCGGGAUCAAUGCGUCGGUCGUGCUUUCGGGUACGUACUGGUGUCAUUGGUUUCUCCUUUCUGACGAGCCGUGAUGUCAUUAAUUUGGUGUUACGGGUAGUUAGGACUGUUACUUUAGAAAAAAUUAGAGUGUUUAAAGCAGGCAUUGGCUUGAAUACAUUAGCAUGGAAUAAUGAAAUAGGACGUUCGAUCCUAUUUUGUUGGUUUCUAGGAUCAACGUAAUGAUUAAUAGGGAUAG
rnacentral:rRNA from 1 species